UCCAGGGCCCUGCACGGUUGAAUAUUGCGAACUAUGUCAGGCGGGGAACCGAGCAGCAUUAAGCAAAUUUUUUGAUGCGAUGCAGAAAGUUUUGGGUGC
rnacentral:SRP_RNA from 1 species